CACCGCCCUAGCCAGCUUCGAGACAUGUCAACAAUCGCUGCUCCAAAGCGCGACAGGAGAAGGAAGUUCAAGUCGAAGAUGUGGUUCUUCGGACGUAG
rnacentral:lncRNA from 1 species